rnacentral:rRNA from 1 species
UCCACUCUACACCUGUGCACCAACUGUGGGCUUUUUGGUGGACUUGCUUAAUCGUCCUUCACCGGGCGUUGAGGCUUGUUGACCUUGGCCUGCGUUUUCAUACAAACCCUGUAAAAAGUAAAAAGAAUGUGUAUUGCGAUAUAACGCAUUUAUAUACAACUUUCAGCAACGGAUCUCUUGGCUCUCGCAUCGAUGAAGAACGCAGCGAAAUGCGAUAAGUAAUGUGAAUUGCAGAAUUCAGUGAAUCAUCGAAUCUUUGAACGCACCUUGCGCUCCUUGGUAUUCCGAGGAGCACGCCUGUUUGAGUGUCGUGAAAUUCUCAACCUACACGACUUUUGUUGCGUAGGCUUGGACUUGGAGGCAUUGCCGAUGUUUUUAUCAACGUUGGCUCCUCUCAAAUGCAUUAGCUAGUGUCCUUUGCGGAUCAGCUUUUCGGUGUGAUAAUUGUCUACGCCGUGGUUGUGAAGCGUUUUUGACCAGCUUCUAAUGGUCUUGUGAAAGAGACAAAAGAAAUUCAUU